rnacentral:lncRNA from 1 species
CGAGAUUAAUUGGAUCUGCCUAUUUGGAUCUUUUUAUUAUUAUAGAUUAUAGAUAGGUGUAGGAACGAAUCGUUUUCCAUCCAAAACAUAAAAGGGAAAUGUUGCUUGUGCAGUGGUGCUGCCAAAAGUAUUCCCAUUAUAAAUAGAUGAGUAAACUUGAAAUCCUGGAGAACAAACAUCACUACGGAUAAGCGGUGGUUUCCUUCACUCAUUAUUCUCCACGCGAGACAAGGACUACGUACGGAAGCUAAAGCAUGGAGCCGCGGCGCUGCUUGGAUCAUAGUACUCCCUCUGUUCGAAAUUACUUGUCUCGGAAAUGAAUGUAUCUAGAACUAAAAUACGUCUAGAUACAUCCAUUUCUGCGACAAGUAAUUCCGAACGGAGGGAGUACAAGCUAGCGAUCAUGCAACGUUGACGGGUGGAUCAUGUUGGAUGCGCUUCUUGGGCGCGACGGCCUCGAUGGCCUC